UGGGGAUAGGUCAAGUAGAGACUACUGCUGUUCAGAUAGGGCUGAGGAUAGGUCAAGUUGAGACUGACUAGAGACUACUGCUGCUCAGAUAGGGCUGAGGAUAGGUCAAGUAGAGACUACUGCUGUUCAGAUAGGGCUGAGGAUAGGUCAAGUAGAGACUGACUGGAGACUACUGCUGCUCAGAUAGGGCUGAGGAUAGGUCAAGUAGAGACUGACUGGAGACUACUGCUGUUCAGAUAGGGCUGAGGAUAGGACAAGUAGAGACUACUGAUGCUCAGAUAGGGCUGAGGAUAGGUCAAGUAGAGACUGACUAGAGACUACUGCUGCUCAGAUUGGGCUGAGGAUAGGUCAAGUAGAGACUACUGCUGCUCAGAUAGGUCAAGUAGAGACUGACUAGAGACUACUGCUGCUCAGAUUGGGCUGAGGAUAGGUCAAGUAGAGACUACUGCUGCUCAGAUAGGUCAAGUAGAGACUGACUGGAGACUACUACUGUUCAGAUAGGGUUGAGGAUAGGUCAAGUAGAGACUACUGCUGUUCAGAUAGGGCUGAGGAUAGGUCAAGUAGAGACUGACUGGAGACUACUGCUGUUCAGAC
rnacentral:lncRNA from 1 species